AGAUUAAGUUAUUAAGGGCGCACGGUGGAUGCCUUGGCACUAGAAGCCGAUGAAGGACGUUACUAAC
rnacentral:rRNA from 4 species